CACCAGUACGGAAACAGCUGUGAGCUCACGUGCAACUGUCACAAGUGUGACAGCAGUGACGGCUGUCUGCAUGAGGACUGUUAUCCGGGAUGGUUCGGGGAGAAGUGCCUCUACAAAAACCUCAUCACCAAAAAGACUAAAAUAACCCCCAAAAUAUCGGAAUAUUUGAGUUGUGUUUUAGAGGACCAAAUCACAAUUUAUCUGGAAUCAAGUAUCUACUUCGUGUUUAUGCAAAUCGGUUUUAAUAGCAUUGUAUCCCCCAAUGCCGUGUUGUCCGUGAUGUUUGACAGAGCUAGCGCCAAUUCAAUCGACAUCAGAAAUCACAAUAACAAAACGCUGCUAUUCGAAUCACCAUCGGCCCUUUUUGUCCAAGUUAUCACAGUCAGGUUGUCGGGGGUACUUGAGAUA